rnacentral:rRNA from 1 species
AGGACGAACGCUGGCGGCGUGCUUAACACAUGCAAGUCGAACGAGGCCCUGCCUUCGGGCAGGUGACCUAGUGGCGAACGGGUGAGUAACACGUGGGCAACCUACCCUCAGCUCUGGGAUAACCCCGGGAAACCGGAGCUAAUACCGGAUAUGACCUGGAACGACAUCGUUCUUGGUGGAAAGUUUUUCGGCUGAGGAUGGGCCCGCGGCCUAUCAGCUUGUUGGUGGGGUAAUGGCCUACCAAGGCGACGACGGGUA